GCGUGACCAACCCAGAAACACCAAAAUAUAAAAUCACAUUCUAUCAGUCUGCCAAUUCUAUUAGAAUAAAAGUAACUAAAAUAUAACUAACGUUUAUCAGAGUUAACUGUUAUCUCUAGAACUAAACGGCAAUAAUUCAAAUGAUAAAAAAAAAUAACCGUGUUAAAAUAUAUUAUAUUUUCUUAAAUAGUACACAUUUUUACGAUACAUUUAUAAUGACAAAAAACCAACUAGUUCAUAUGACGACAACGAUAAUUAUUGUAUGAUGGUAGUUGUCUGAAGUCAUAAAAAGCUUAUCGGUAUGCUUAUUCAUUAGAGCGGUUCGAUUCCUGAAACUAUCUCUAGUCUGAUUAAGUGUGGUAACAGUUUUAAGAUGAGUCAAAGAUUCUGGUUGAACAGUUCUCCUUCGACACUAACUGGAAGAAAUAAUUGUUUUAUCAUUUGUCUAAAUAGACUAGCUAGAAUGUGACCAGAGGAAGAUUAAAUGGACAUAUCAUAUAUUUCUCCAUGGACACUGUAAUCCAUGACGGAUUUUUGACACUAUAUUUGAAUAUUUGUUGUUGAAGUUAAUUGGAUUUUGUGCAAAACCCCUGGAAGAAUAUUCUGUAUCAGACUAACAGUAUAAACGCCACCCAGUAUUUCUGUUUACCUGCUGUUAAACAUCGUAGUAUCAUCUCCAAUCUCUUUAUAUUUUGUUUAAUUUUAUUUAAAAAAGUCUCAUUAUAAUUUAUUAUUAAUCAACUGUAAUUCAGUUGUUUAUUUAUUGAAUAACUUAUUAUCCUGUCUUCAACGUCCAUAUAAACUGUACUGUAUUUAUGACCACUACACUGAUAUCUCAUUUGGCUAAAUAUUUUUAAUUUUCAACUACAUUAAAACAAAAUUAAGAUUGUUUAAAUUUUUUUUUUUUUUGAAUACUUGUAUUAUUGUUUGAAUAUUUUUACACUUUAAGUGUCAAUACAAGUAUCUUUAGUUUAACGAUACUAACAGUAUAUUACUAUUACAAUUUUGACAAACAUAAUUAUUAGCCUACCAAAUAAAUUAUAAAUGUAGCUUCUGUAUUUGCUUAUUUAUUAAUAUUUACUUACCUUAAUAACAUUAAAAUAUUAAUUUAUUGUAAAAAUAUCUUGACCUAACUGAAAGAUUGAAAAUUUGUAAACUGUUGUGAAAUUAUGUUGAUGUUGUUAGGAAAAAUUGUGUAGUCAAAAUUUUGAAUACCUAGAUUAAAAAAAAAAAACGGUACAAUUUUUUUUUGCUAAACCAAGUAAUUAUACAUUUGUAAAUUUUGAUGUUUAGUUUAUAAUAUAUACAUUUUUAGUUAAAAAAUAUCUUUACUUAAGUAUCAUUUUAUACUAUUUAUACUUUUUACCAGAUUAUUUUAUGUGUUUUAAACUAUUACAUUUAUUAUUUCUAUUAUUACUAUUUAUUAUUUAUUUAAAUGACUUAUCAAACUUUAUGAAUUGUACUUUAUAAAUUAUAAAAUUGGUCUGAAAUGUAUACUGUGUUACUAUAGGUAGCCUGAUAGACAGGAAGUCUAUAUUGUUUUUUAGAAAUAAAAGUUGUUUUUUCUUGGUUAGCUUAAUUAUAUAGUGUGAUUGACUAAUUUUCUCUCAUAAUAAUUUCAAUUAGGUAAAAUUAUUUUUCAAAACAUUUUUGUUUGUGUUAUUUUACAACUGAAAACAUGUUUUAAUAACCACUUACUUUUUUGAUAAUUUUUAAUUAAAUAAUAUUUAAUUAUGAUAAAAAAACAAAGCGUAUUUAGUAUAUAGUAUAUAUUUGUUUAUAAUUUUAUUAUUUAGAAAUGCAUUAGUUUUUAGAUGUAGUUUUUGACACAAUAAAGUAAAAGUAAACCAAAUGUAUUUUUUCUAAAUCUGUUCUCAUAGACACGUUUACUCUCGAUAACGAGUGAUUUGUAUCUGUGUAUUGUAUUAAGUGAUAUUAUAUAAUACGUUUAAACGAAGGAUGUUUAACAUAUUGAAUACUCUCUUUGAGUAUACAAUGAUGUGUUC